rfam:Clostridiales bacterium 43-6 SCNpilot_BF_INOC_scaffold_1710, whole genome shotgun sequence.
CUAAUAAAAGUAUCUUAUCUUAAGACAGCAGGUGCUGCAUGCAGCAUAAUCAUCGCCUGCCGAGGAGAGGAAUUAUUGACACUGUUUCAGUGAAUUAAUAAUUGUGCCCUUCUCGAUGUUCUGAGAAGGGCUUUAUAUUUUCAUAA